GACGUAGGGUGCGAGCGUUGUCCGGAUUUAUUGGGCGUAAAGCGUGCGUAGGCGGCUGCGCAAGUCGGUUGUGAAACCCCGGGGCUCAACCCCGGAACUGCAUCCGAUACUGCGUGGCUAGAGGUAGGUAGGGGAGAUCGGAAUUCCUGGUGUAGCGGUGAAAUGCGCAGAUAUCAGGAGGAACACCGGUGGCGAAGGCGGAUCUCUGGGCCUUACCUGACGCUCAGGCACGAAAGCUAGGGGAGCGAACAGG
rnacentral:rRNA from 1 species